rnacentral:lncRNA from 1 species
AUGCCGGAGGAGCCGUGGGGUCCCAUGUCCCAUGGGGGCCCGUGCCAGAGGAGCCUCUGGCUGCGCCCAGCCUCGCUCCAUCAUCCCUCCGUGUGCUUUGGAGAAACCAGCUCCCAGACAGACGAACAUCAGCGCUGCUCUCCCCAGACACACAGAGCUCUCUGCUGCUUUUUGAGGAACCUGCAGCGUCUCCGAGCUCCCGCAGGAGCUCCCUGCGCACCCAGGGCUGGUCUCCGCCACGUCGAGGACAACCAGCAGCACCAGCCCCCGGCCCCGACGGCGGCUUCCACGGCCGCAUGGCGGAUGCGGCUCCUCGAGCUUCUCGGUGCCGGGACCUUCGGGCGCCGCACCCAAACCCAGGGGAAGCUGCGGCGAAGCCUGGUGUGGGCUGGGCGGCAGCAGCUCAGCACCCGCACAGCCUCUCACCGGCCCUCCAGCCCCGCACCCAGCCGCGAUGCCCCCAUCCUACCCGCACCGUGGGGUCCCCUACAGACGGGGUGCAGGCCCACCCUGCGCCCGCUCCCGGCAGGUGCCCGUGCCCCGUCCAGCACCACGGGGCAGCUCCAUGCCCCCAGCCCCUACACCCCGGGGGGGUGGUUCUGGGUGCCAGGGGAGGGGGCAGCGCUGCCACCGUCGCGAAGCGGUGACGCCAGCCCCGAGCGGGCUCAGCCUGGCUCAUUAGGGUCUGGCUGAUUAAGGCCCGGCUCAUUAGGGCCUGGCUCAUUAGGGCCCCUCCGGCGGCCGCGCUCGGAGGGCUUCUGGGAAGGCAUUAGCGGAGCGCGCUGAGCGCUCCUUAACCGGCGGGAGCUUUUUUUAGCCCCCCGGCCCCCUAACGAGCUAAACGAGCCGCCCGCCGCUUCCAGGAACGGCCCCGGGCUCCGCGCCCGCCCCCCUCCCAGCGCCCCGGCGCCUCGCUCAAACCCCCGGGGCCGCCCCCCCCCGCGCUGGGUGCGCUGAGCUGCGCCCGGCCUCGGCGCGGCGCCGGGGCCCUUUAAGGCGCGCCCCCGAGCCGCGUGACGUCAGCGGGGCGGGCGCGCCGGGACGCAGCAGCUCCGCGGCCCCG